rnacentral:rRNA from 1 species
CACUAGAAUACUAUGCAAGUCGAACGAUGCUGAGAAGCUUGCUCUGAAUGACCGUGACGCACGGCUGCGUAACGCGUAUGCAACCUACCUGUAAUCAGGGGGAUAGCCUCUCGAAAGAGAGAUUAACACCGCAUAAAAUCACAGGCUGGACAUCAGCAUCUGAUUCAAAUAUUUAUAGGAUCAAGAUGGGCAUGGGUGACAUUAGCUAGUUGGUAAGGUAACGGCUUACCAAGGCUACGAUGUCUAGCCGAUCUGAGAGGAUGACCCCCCACACUGUAGCUGAGACACGGACCAGACUCCUACGGGAGGCAGCAGAUAAGGAGUAUUGGUCAAUGGAGGCAACUCUGCACUCUAGAUGCCGCAUGCAGGAAGACGGCCCUACGGGUUGUACACUGCUUAGAUACGGGAAUAAACCUCUUUACGUGUAAAGAGUUGACACUACUGUAAGAAUAAGGAUCGGCUAACUCCGUGCCAGCAGCCGCGGUAAUACGGAUCAUCCAAGCGUUAUCCGGAUUAUAUUGGGUUGAAAGCAUGCGUAGGCGGCCCUAUUAAGUCAGCGGUGUGAAUGACGGUGGCUCAACCAUACGCAGUGCCCUUGAUACUGAUGGUACCGGAUUACACUUGAGCCUAGCGGAAUGUGACAAGUAGCGGUGAAAUGCAUAGAUAUGUCACAGAACACCAAUUGCGAAGGCAGCUUACUAAGGUGUUAAUGACGCUGACCUACGAAAGCGUGCAGAUCAAACAGGAUUAGAUACCCUGGUAGUCCACGCCCUAAACGAUGAAUACUCGAUGUUAGCGAUAUACAGUUAGCGUCAAAGCGAAAGCGUUAAGUAGAGCACCUGGGGAGUACGCGCGCAAGGGUGAAACUCAAAGGACUUGACGGCUGCCCGCACAAGCGGAAGAGCAUGUGGCUAGAAUUCGAUGAUACGCGAGGAACAUUACCCGGGCUUGAAAGUUACUGAAGUAUCCAGAGAUGGAUGCGUCCGCAAGGACACUAUACUAGGUUCUGCAUGGCUGUCCCCAGCUCGUGCGCGUGAGGUGUAUGGGUUAAGCCUCCCGCAACGAGCGCAACCCCUAUGUUUAGCUGUCAGCCAUGUUAUGGUGGCGACUCUAGACAGACUGCCUGUGCAAACAGAGACAUGCAGGGGACGACGUCAAGCUCAUCAUGGCCCUUACGUCCGGGGCUACACACGUGCUGACAAUGGAUGGUACAGACCGCCGCUACCUGGUAACAGGAUGCCAAUCUCAAUAAGCCAUUCACAGUUCGGAUAGAGGUCUGCGACUCGACCUCUUGAAGUUGCUUGCGCUAGUAAUCGCAUACCAGCAAUGAUGCGGUGAAUACGUUCGCCGCCCGCUUGUGUACACCGCCCGUCAAAACCAUGGAAGUUGGCCAUACCUGAAGUACGUAACCGCAAUGAGCGUCCUUAUGA